GCCUGGAUGGUUCAGUUGGUUAAGUGUCUGACUUCGGCUCACAUGAUCUCAUGGUUUGUGGGUUCGAGCCCCACGUCAGGCU
rnacentral:tRNA from 1 species